UACGUAUGGGGCAAGCGUUAUCCGGAUUUAUUGGGUUUAAAGGGUGCGCAGGCGGACACUCAAGUCAGCGGUAAAAUAGCGGGGCUUAACCCCGUCGAGCCGUUGAAACUGGGUGUCUUGAGUGAGCGAGAAGUAUGCGGAAUGCGUGGUGUAGCGGUGAAAUGCAUAGAUAUCACGCAGAACUCCGAUUGCGAAGGCAGCAUACCGGCGCUCAACUGACGCUCAUGCACGAAAGCGUGGGUAUCGAA
rnacentral:rRNA from 1 species